CCUACGGGUGGCAGCAGUGAGGAAUAUUGGUCAAUGGCCGGAAGGCUGAACCAGCCAAGCCGCGUGAAGGACGAAGGUGCCAAGCAUUUUAAACUUCUUUUGUCAAGGGACAAACUCAGGCUCGAGAGCCUGACCGAGGGUACUUGAAGAAAAAGCAUCGGCUAACUCCGAUCCAGCAGCCGCGGUAAUACGGAGGAUGCGAGCGUUAUCCGGAUUUAUUGGGUUUAAAGGGUACGUGGGCGGGCUGUUAAGUCAGCGGGAAAAGCCCGGGGCUCAACCCCGGCGAGCCGUUGAGACUGGCUGUCUUGAGAUGUCGAGAGGUAUGCGGAAUGCGCAGUGUAGCGGUGAAAUGCGUAGAUAUUGCGCAGAACUCCGAUUGCGAAGGCAGCAUACCGGCGGCGAUCUGACGCUGAGGCACGAAAGCGUGGGUAUCGAACAGGAUUAGAUACCCCAGUAGUC
rnacentral:rRNA from 1 species